GACAGUUUCCGUUAGCAACUCUAACACAACAUACCUGCCCCAACAGGUUAAUCUCACCUUCCAUCACCUGCAGUCCAGUGAUGUUGACCCCACCUGUGUUUAUUGGUCGGAUGAGAAUGGACCGGGGUGUGGUCUGGGAGGGGUUGCACCUUAGUGAUGUCAAACUCCAACCAGACUGUGUGCUCCUGCAACCAUCUCAGCACAUUCACUCUGCUGAACAAAGUGCAACAGGGAAGCGGGCAGCUGUCAUUGGUGAUGUGGGUGGGUGUUUUUGUGGCACUGACCUGUGUGGUCCUGUCCCUGAUCACCACCCUGUGGUGUCGCUUUGUCAGCCGCAAACGCCGUGGAGGACACCGGCUGCAACAUGAAGUACAGCUACAUAGAAAAUAAGACAUGGAUUUGAACUAUUUGUGUUAUAAGAAAAGCUUUACUUGGAAUUCAUUUGAAAAUGUUGUCUCUUGGCUUGCAAGGACAUCCAAUUACCAGAAUUAGUAUUUAUUUAAGUAGUUUAAAAAUGUACCAAACAAACAAAAACAAAAACAUAACUUUUUAUUAAUAGAUAUACAAUUUUUCAUGUAUAGAAAUCAGUUCUGGACUGUAAUAAAUGAGCUCUCAUCUCUAUGGCAACAUAAGUCAUUUCAGUCUCAUAAACAUGGUUGGUAAUUUGUAGAGAUGAGAAUAGUGGUAUAUCCAUUCAACGCUGCAUUUGUCCAGUAUUUUUUUAAAUUGUACCUUUAUUUAACUAGGCAAGUCAGCCUAGGAACUGUGGGUCAACUGCCUGUUCAGGGGCAGAAUGACAGAUUUGUACCUUGUCAGCUCAGGGAUUUGAACUUGCAACCUUUCGGUUACUAGUCCAACAC